AACGGAUAUAACCCCCUAAUA
rnacentral:tRNA from 1 species